rnacentral:rRNA from 1 species
AUGAAGCUUUUAGAAUACACCCCGUUCGACUGUGUAAAUGUGUUCCUCGAUCAACUAAACCUUGGUGAUUGUACAAUUAGGGGGAGCCUUGAAGCCUUCUCAUGCAAGCACGCAGGAAAUGAUCGUCGGCUUUCAAUAAGCCUGGAACAUGAGAUUCUUGAUUACCUUGGCAAGUCUUCUGAUAGUGAUCCUCCUUCACCUGUGGAGCAUUUGUCUUGUAGAUCGAGCCGGAAAACGUUGAUAUAUCUAGUUCUCACUCUUGGCCAUAUGUAUCCAGAUUAUGAUUUCAGCAGUGCUGUUCGGGCACACCUAUUCUUCAAAGAAGAAGACAUGGAAAGUUUCAAGCAGAUGGUAGACAACUACUUAUCGGAGGCUUCUAGGCUCUGGGCAGCAAGAAAUGAAGGCAGUUCUCUUCUGGACAGUAUGACUAAAGCUAUUGAUGAGGUUAUCAAAAUCAGGGAGUGUGACAUCUACAGCUACAACCCAGACUCUGACGGAGAUCCAUUUCUAGAGAAAGGGGCCAUAUGGUCGGUGAACUUUUUCUUCUACAACCGGAAGCUAAAGCGAGUAGUGAGCUUUCGCUGCUGCUGUACUAGCAAAUUUGCAGGAGAUGACUUCCUUGCUGGUGCACUCUCGGAUGGCGAGGAGGAAGAUGCGUUGAUCGACAUGGACAUAUGA